rnacentral:lncRNA from 1 species
GGUGCUCUUAUGGUAUGUAGGGAUGCUAUAUGAUUAGAUCCCAUAAAGAAGAAUACGAAAAGAAGAACUUAUUUUUCUGCAAAAUCUUAGAUCUUGAAACCCUAGGUUUGUUGUAUGUGAUACAAAGUUAUAUAAAAAAUAAAUUAUCUAAUCUAUAUGAUUAAAAUUAUUUUAAUCAUGAUAAAAUAAAAUCUUGAAUCAUAAAAAAUUUUAGCUAUUGUCUAAAAGAUGUUUAUGAUUAAUUUUAUUUUAAAAUUAUGUAAGAUUUUUCAGAUCUGAAACUCCUUGAAUCGUGCUCACACAA